AUAUGUUCAUAUCAAACCGAAUCGAAAAGUCCCAAUUUAUCAGAAUAUAUUGUCACCGUGUUGUUUGAUUCUAUAACGUCAUUUCCGCCUAUGACUACGCACUUUUAAAUGAAGCAGACGGAUCUUCAACAUGUGUUAUGGAACAUUAAAAAAUCACAAUGUUGCAGCAGGUGUAGCGAAGAAAGGUAAAAUAUUUAUGUUGAAAUCACCUUGAGUGUAUAUGAGAUAAAUGUAGUUACUUUAAUGGAACAAAUGAACAGUUUUUGUCAAACAUUUCGAAAUGGCGAUUUUGAAUUUUUAAGUUAGAUUUAUGGCAGUAAAAUUCUUUUAUAUUGUAUAAAGUUACAAAGUUAUAUACUAUAGCUACAAAGAUAGAUGGAUACAUGUGUACAAAAAGAAAAGAAAGUAAACACAAUAAGUAAAAUCAUUCUCUCUUUUUUUUCCUUUAGAACUAAUGACUCUGCAUGAUCAUGAGGAAGAUGCACUUGAUGCUGCAAUAUUGAUUGUUUUAAGGGACUUGCGAGUUCAACAAGUGAAUGCUCCUUAGCUAAAGGGCAGAAUACCCAGCUCAAAAAGCCCUGCGAGACAACUGGAGGUGAAAUAUGCAGAAUGGAUUAAAGAAAAUGACAUUCUAAAAUGCAAUUUUUCAGCGCAGAACUGAGAAGUCUUGCGCUACAAAAGGGGACCUUCACCAAGCAGUGGCGGUGAAAUUGACCAAAGGACCAAAAGCGGGAAAGUUAACUGUGCAGCACAGCAAUGAAAGUUCAUAAAGGCUUGUGUAUAUACUGACUAUUACACAUUAUAAAUUACUGCUUAUACUAUAGAUAGAUUUACUGUAAUAACUGUAGUAACUGAAAUAACCUGAAAGUUUUGUAACGUUUAUACAAUUAUCAUGAGUAUUGCGAAUAUAGAUAUAUUUGCAAACUAUUUGUAAUUAAGAGUACAUGUAUCUAGAGUAAUUAAACCUGAAUAUAUUACUUUAGUUGUUAUGAAUAGUUGUUGUAUUCUACAAAGGCUGCCAACCAUAUUCACAGUAUAUCACUAUAUGUCAGUAGUUUUGCUGUCCUACCGGCCGGGGUACAUGAAAUAUCUGAAGCAAGCUGCAUCUCUACUGCCAACCAAAGCUUCCAUAUUUGGAUACACAAUGCUGCUGUGCAGUACUAAUUUAAAUAUUUGAAACAUGCUGCAACUCUA